UGCUGGGUGACAUCAUAAUGGCUUGUGGAAAUACUACUGCUCAGAGCCUGCUAAUGCUGUCACAGGGUAUUCAGGCCUGUAUAUUUCUUUGUCACAUGGCUAAAGCUCACUCUUUGAGAAACAGGAUCUCUUCUGGUCCUUAUCUAGUAGUGCAUCCAGUAAGAGCCAUGCAGGGGAAAGCAGAGGGACCUGAUGUCUACUUAGCCACAGUGCUUGUUAGUAAACACAUAUCAUAAUGGACUGUUGAAGACACCAGGGAAUGGGGAAUGGCAUCCCAAGUAGAAGUGCCUGCUUAAACCUACUAUCUUCUGGGAAUGGUGCUGAGGAACUAUUUCAGGCUUUGCACCAUUGAACAACUUUGAGCUAUACUCCAGCUGAACAUCGACAUGUCUUUGAGGCAGAGUAUGUUGCUGCUACACAGAGGUCUUGUAAAGAGAUGUGAGCACUUUUUCCAGUGUCAGGUAGCAAGAAGCCAAAUCCUGUCAUCAAAAGUGAGAACUUGGAAUUGAAGACUUCAUCGGAGAGUACAAGUUGGCUAUUAUCUUCAUGGAAGACUUGCAGAAGACCUACAUAAGCUGUCUGGACUUUUGACCAUAUGAGACCCUGUGAGAUUGGAAGGCAAUGUAAUAAAAACAGUGCCAUAAGGCACUUAACCAUCCGUAUAAAA